GCAGUACUGCGCGAGCCUUAGCCGCGCAGGCUCAGCGAAGGGAGGCUGGCGGAUCUGCUACCUUUUGCGGUUCCCACCAAGAGUGACAAAACCUUGCUAGUGUGGGAGCUGAGCUCUGGACCCACGGCCGACGCUUUGCAUGCUGUUUCUCUUGGAGGUGGUGCAGGAGGUUGAGGAAAGCACCUCUGAUGAGCAGAUAGCUGGAGGCUGUUCCCACAGUCAUGUCUCAGCGAAGAAGUCGGAGUUCAGCAGCCAUCAGAACCAAGGUAUGUGUGGUGAUCUUCGGAAUGCCACUCCAAAUCCUUUGCACUUUCUUUUGCACACAGCAGGAGUUGUAAAAGAAUGCUUCCUUUUAUUAUUAACACUGAGAAUCCAUGCAGAGAGUUUACACUAAACACAUGAAUACAUUGUGUUUUAGAAGGCUGGGUGCCCUCAGUCCCCAGAUCUUUGAAUUCUACCAUUAAGUUCAGGUAGGUUUUUGGAGACAGAGAUUGGCCGCAUCAUAUCUGUGACACUGACUCUUCUGGUGUAGGUUUGCUUGGCCAGGGAGUCUGAGUGCAGCCCCUGAUCAGUGCUUCAUGCCAAUCUGUGAGUCUGUUCCAGGAACUAGAGGAGAGAGAGCCUUAGCCUUGCCUGCAACCAGAUGAAUGGUUAGCUUUAGUGGUGAACACUUUGCUUUUUGAAUAGUGUGGUUGGCUGGCAGCUCUUGUCAUUGUUUAUCUCUCAAUUUAACAAACCAAGCUGAAGCCUGAGCACAGCUACAACCUUGUCCAAUCUCUUUAGCAACAAAAUACCUGUGUGUGCAUAUCUUAUUGCUCAAAACAUUAAACAAGGCUGUAUACAAACACACACACAAACAUACACAGAUACACUGUACAGGAGACCCCUGAUAAAACACACAAAUUUUAAAAAUUUAUUUUUAAACAAAUGCAGUGGGAUGAUCAUAGCUCUCUGCAGCCUUGAACUCCUGAGCUCAAGCAAUCCUCCUGCCUCAGGCUCCCAAGUACCUGGGACUACAGGCGUGAGCCACUGCACCUGGCCAUGUAGUGAAGGACUUUCUAAGCAAGACCUUGACUUGGAAAGUUGCCACCAACUCCCCAGCUCUGUGAGAAGUUUUAGGGGCAGGGGGUUUAAAUUAUCAAAUUUAGCUGGUUUGCAGGGGGAGUUCUUUCCCAGUGAUGAGUUGGGGCUGCUUCUCCCCAGAGUAAAAAAUGGCAGCAAAUAAAUGUUAGAUCACAGCCUCUUCUUAGUCAUACCCAUUUAUACAUGUCAUGAGGGUCAUUGCCAAAGAAAGAAGUGAGUUAAGUGUAAGGGAAUCUGGUCGGGGGUGGACCAAUAACCAGACUCAUCCGAACGCUUGGCUGAUGGUUUUCCAGUUGCUCCGUGGUUUAUCCUUUGUGAAGAUGCAAGUGACAAUCAGAGUUGGAAACGUGGGGCCUCAGCUCUGCUUGAUAAACCAGGCAAGGAAGAGCUGAGGGUGGAGUAGGGGGGUGCCGGUGGAAGGAGGGUCUGAAUUUGAGGAAGAAAAAGGACAGUGCAGCAAAGAGUUGGGUUCCUUUCAAGCUUCUAAAGGACACAGUGGGCUGUAACAGAGCUCUCUGAAUGAGGGAAGCACAGCCCACCAGCAGAGCAUUUACCACCUGUGUGUGUCUCAAAUGGCCAGUGGGGCAGUUCCUGCUGUGGCCUGAUUCCAUGGACAGCACCACUCAUCUCACUCCCCAACUCUAGCACACGUUUUCCCACUGGGAGCUCGGCCAACCAUUUUGGAUCCCUGAAGGGAAAGAAUGUCAGGAGUGGAGGAAGGGGUGGUGAUGCGGUGAAGCCUCUGCUGCUAGCCCCUGCAGGCAGAGAAAGUUCCAGAUGCCUCGGCCUCAGUCAAAGCAAGCCUGGCUGACCCAUAGGAUGUCAGUGGCAUGGGGAGUGGAUGUAUUUGGCGGCAGAUGGCCUGUUUGUUUAUGACAAAAAGUACUAGAGAUGUGUCACCAAGAGAGGCCUAUGGAUUUCUUAAGCCAAAACACUUGGACAAAGUCUCCCAAAAAAAUAGAACCAAGCAUCUCAUAGAGUUAAUGAUUG
rnacentral:lncRNA from 1 species